rnacentral:lncRNA from 1 species
UUUUUAAAGAUUUUAUUUAUUUAUUCAUGAGAGACACAGAGAGAGAGAGAGAGAGAGAGAGAGAGGCAGAGACACAGGCAGAGGGAGAAGCAGGCUCCGUGCAGGAAGCCCAAUGUGGGUGAGACUCGAUCCCUGGUCUCCAAGAUCACCUGGGUCUCCUUCCCUAAUCACCCCCACAUUUCCCUGGAUUAGAGAGAGGUCCUCCUCUGAGGUCUCAGAACAUCUGCACUUUCUCCAUCAUAGCAUUAACCACUCUGCUUUUUUAAAAUUGUGGUCCUUUAAAAAUAUGUCCACAAAUUCUUUUAUACUCUUUCCAUCAGAAGGUGGAGUCUCCAGGUCCUCCCUCUGACAUUGGGUUGGGUCUCUGUGACCCCCUCAACGGGCCAAAUGUGGCGGGAGUAACAAUUUCUUCCCAAUGGUUCAUAAGAGGCACUGGGAUUGAGGUUGAGAUCAGAAUUCCCCCCGUUGAACACACAGAAGCCUACAGCCCACACCUCUGCUCCUCUCUACCCUGUUGUUACUACCCUUUGGGCCGAGGUUUGUUGGGGUCCCUUGCACACCACCCCUGCCCCCAGCCUGGAUGCUCCUGAGGGCAGGGCUGAGGCUUCAGAGUCCUGUGACCCCUGCAGCAUGCAGGAGAGGGGCAGGAAGGGGCAGGAAACCAGUAGCUAUGGGCUCCUGCCCUGUGCCAGCCACUGCAGUGGUUGUGCACACUUCUUGGCCCUCUCACGUGGUGUGUCUGUCUCAUUUUAGCUGAAGGAUCUGAGGCUCGGAGAAGUGUAGUGAUGUUGGUCACAGUCACCUGGCAGGGAUUUGAACCCAGAUCUGUGAGCAUCAUUCCAAAACGACGGUCAGGGGAUGCUUCUCUGAGAUGAUGUGCUGAGCCGAGACCCCAAAGAUGAGCAGGAGCCAGCCUCUGGAAGAGCCGUUCCAGGCUGAGCCAUGAGCAAGGACAAAGCCUGGCAGCCGGCCAGGGCUCCCCAUGUGCCAGGGGCAUCUGCUCCCCUGACUCAGCCCCCGGGAGCAAGGAGGGGUCCGGGGCUGCGAGCUGGCAACCAGGGUUCUGACCCGGCUCAGCUCCGGCCCGGUGUGUGACCCCGCAGCAGACCUGUGCCCUCCUUGUGCUUCAGUUUGCCUCUGUAAAAUGAGGGAGACAGAGCAGGUGACUCCCAUGCAAAGUAGUGGAGGACAGUCUGGAGAGUGGGGACCGCCUGGGGACACCGGAGUCAUUCCUCUGGCAGCAGUCUGAGGAUGUCCCAGACUGGGGGCCAUUGGCAGUGGCGGGAAUUCCCACAGCAAUGACCUUUGGACUUACACCUGCCCAGCCAGCCAGCAUGCCACAUGGCCCCAGGCCAGGCCUCCACCUCCAUGGGUGCCCCCUCCUGGUUCAAGGUCCCUGCUGGUGACCCAGGACCCAGCAGAGGCUCCUGGGAGCAGUGUGACUCCAAGGCUGCUCAGAACCCCUGGGCUGGGGGUUCUUCUCUCUUCUAUCAGGCUGUCUAUCUGCUUGCAUGACAGCGACAGCUGCCACUGUGCUCCUGCCACUCUCAAGUCCUACGGCAGUGAAAAUGCCCUCCUUUUUAAUGAGAAUGGUGUUUGUUGUGUUCUGAUUACUAAAGUAUUGGUUGAAAGAGUUUGGAAAACACAGUAUUUGGAAACCUCGGUGCCUGGAAUAUUGAGCAGCACAUAAUAGAUCAUUGUUGAAAGAGGGAAUGAACAUAAAGCAGGAAUUAGUGUGAGGUUAAGGGCAUGGACUCUGGGGCCACAAAGGCUGUGCUGAAUCCUGACUUGCCCCCUGUGUGAUAUCGGGCACUCUGUGACUCAGUUUCCUUAUUUGUAGUUGGGCUCAGCUAAGGGGCAGUAGGAUAGGAAGCCAGAGGUGUGGAAGAUAGAAGGACCAGGGCACUUCUCAGCUCCCUCCUUUGGACUUUGGACUUCAGUCCGACAGUGGCCAGGUCGCUCCCCGAAACCCCUCACCCGUGGCUCCAGCUUUCCCUGGAGUUGGACACCAGACUCCUUUCUUAGCUGCUUUAAGCCAGAAACUAGGGGUGCUAGUUCCUGGGUCCCUCAAUCACCUUCUGCCGGUGUCCUUAAGCCUGUCCCCCACCUCUAUAAAUAGCCGCUUAAUUCAAAUCCCAAGAACCGACUGAGUUGGACUCUCUUCUCCUGCCUGGACCCUGAUGGACACAAUUAGCACACCGAGCAUUUUUUCCUGCACUUACUGAUCUUUUGUAGCAGUGCCUUCCUCUUGUGGAAAGCUUUGAAUUCUUUUCCAAAGUCUGUACAGGUCUUUUGUGGAGACAGCAGGCUACAAAAGACAGUGCUAAAAAUAUACAGCAACCCAUGCGCUGCCACCCAGGGAGUUUCUGGGGGCCACUGAGGAAGGCUUUGUGCAGAGGCGGCAUCCUGCUGCGUCCUGAAGGUCACAUCCAUGUUUUACAAGAGUUGAGAGCAAAACACAGAGCCAUGAGAUGGGAAGAACUAGCAGCAAGGAAGCCUGGGUCCUUUUCCAGGCUUUGCUCCUGACAGGCUGUGUGACUCGGGGCAAACCACGCCCCUCUCUGAUCCUCACUUUCCUUGCCCGCCAAUGCAGAUGAAGGCUUUGGACCAGGACGGUAUUUCUCAAAUCACCCAGGAAUCCUGCUUAUUUAUUUGUAAAUGUAUUUUUAUUGAGGUAGAAUUGGCAUAUAAAUUUAAGGGUAUAAUGGGUCGAUCUGAUACAUUUACAUUUUGCAAUAUGAUUACCACUGUAGAGUUAGGUCACGUAGUUAACAUUUUUGUGCGUGAUGGGAACAGUUAAGAUCCAGCCUCUUUGCAACUUAGAAGUUUGUGAUACAAUAUUGCUGUCUUUAAUUCUACGUGGUGCAUUGGAUCUCCAAGACUUAUCUACUGGUACAAGUUUCUGUAGAUGUUAAAUAACAUCUUCUCCCCCCUUCCCCCCAACCCCAGCCUCAGAUAAAAACCAUUCUACUUCCUGUUUUUAUGAGUUUGGCUUUGUUAGAUUCCACAUGUAAGCGACAUCAUAAUAGUAUUUGUCUUUCUCUGUCUGACAUCUCACCCAGCAUCAUGCCUCUAGUUCCAUCAAUGUUGUUGCAAAUGGCAGAACUUUCUUCUCUCUGGUGGCUGAAUAAUAUUCCAUUGUGGGAUGUGUGUGUGUGUGUGUGUGUGUGCGCACAUGCAUGUGGAUGUGUAACCUUUGGAUAUGGAGAUAAGGGAACCCUUGUGCACUGUUGGUCAGAAUGUACCUUGGUGCAGAUGACUUUUUCUAAUUAUGGAAAACAGUAUGGAGAUUCCUCAAAGAAUUAAAAAUAAAACUACCCUAUGAUCCAGGAAUUCCACGUUUGGGUACAUAUUCAAAGGAGAUGAAAAUAAAAUCUCAAAGAGAAAAAAAAAGAUCUCAAAGAGACUCUCAUGCCUAUCGCAGCAUUAUUCACAGUAGCUAGAGAUGGAAACAAGCUAAUUAUCCAUCCACAGAUGACUGAUAAAAAAAGUUGUGGUGUAUAUCUACACCAGGAAUCUUGUUAAAUGCAAUUCUGGGGGAUCCCUGGGUGGCUCGGCGGUUUGGCGCCUGCCUUUGGCCCAGGGUGUGAUCCUGGAGUCCCGGGAUCGAGUCCCACAUCGGGCUCCUGGCGUGGAGCCUGCUUCUCCCUCCUCGUGUCUCUGCCUCUCUCUCUCUCUCUCUCUCUCUAUCAUAAAUAAAUAAAUAAAUCUUAAAAAAAAAUAAAUGCAAUUCUGAUUCAUCAGGUUCCUUAAGGGCCUGAGACUCUAGGGCAUUUCUUUUUGUUUGUUUUUAUUUUUUUUAAGUAAUCUCUAUGCAUAUGGUGGGGCUCGAACUCACGACCCCCAAAUCAAGAGUCGCAUGCUCUAUGGACCGAGGCACUCCUGAGACUCUGCAUCUCUAACAAGCUCCCAGGUGGUACCAAUCUUGGGCUGUGUUUUGAGAACAAGGGACUAAAAUGAACUCUGAUUUCCCUCUAGGCUCAGUGAUUCUAUAACUGUUCAUUCCUAUUUUCAUGCAGCUUUCUAUGACGGGGCCCACACUCCUGAUACAUCAGCUCUAGCUGAAAGAGACCAAUGUUAUGAAGACCUGCCACUCUGGAUCUCUGUGGGGUACUUCGGGAUUGAGAAUUUGAUAUUUAUGGCAGCUUCCUCCCCCAGCCCCAUCACCUGCAGAUCUGUGCGUUCAGAUUUACAGAAGAAAAUAGUACUGUCAGCGAUGAUCCAGUGUGGUUUGAAAAUUGUGUCACCUCCUGGUGCUGCUGGAUUCACAGCCCUUCCCCCCAGGGGAGCUCUGAGGAACCUGAGGACCCUCCCCCAUCCCUCGCUCCACCCUCUCUUUGCCUCUGCAAUUGGCAGCAUCUAAAAUCCCAGCCAUAGCCUCAUUUUGCUGUGUCUUGAUAGCUUUGGGGACUCUAAGGAGCUUCUGUUAAAAUGAAAAUUUCUCAGCAAGGAAAGAUUCUUUAAUAUUUGCCAGAGUUCAUGUUAUUGGAUUCCUUUCCUGGAAUUCCAGUGGGCCCUGCUUUUACAGAUGGAAACUGAGACCUAGAGAGGGGGAAGGGCUGGCCACAUCAGGAGUGCAUCACUGGAACCAGAUUUCUGUCGAGCCCUUCUUGGGGUUAGGGCUGUCGAGGCAGGCAGGCCCAGAUCACACUUUGAAAAUCAUGACAUGGUGGCUUUGAGUCACACAGAUGUGGAUUCAAAUUCCAGAUCAUUAAAAAGAAGGUAUUUAUUAGGGGGCCUGGGUAGUUCAGUCGAUUGAGUGUCCGAUUCUUGAUCUCAGCUCAGGUCUUAAUCUCAGAGUCAUGAGUUUGGGGCCCCAUGUUGGGGUCCACCCUCGGCAUGGAGCCUACUUAAGAAAAAUUAACUCAGGGCAGCCCGGGUGGCUCAGCGGUUUAACGCCGCCUACAGCCCAGGGCGUGAUCCUGGAGACCCGGGAUCCAGUCCCAUGUCAGGCUCCCUGUGUGGAGCCUGCUUCUCCCUCUGCCUGUGUCUCUGCCUCUCUCUCUCCUCCCUGAGUAUUCUCAUGAAUAAAUAAAUAAAAUCUUAAAAAAAAAAAAUUAACUCAGUUCAGCAUCUGACUCUCAGUUUCUGCUCAGGUCAGGAUCUCAGGGGUUGUGAGAUCAAGCCCCAUGUCUGGCUCUGCUCUCAGUGGGGAGUCUGCUUGAGAUUCUCUCCUUCUACACAACCCUCCUCACCCAUUAGCAUACACACACACUCUGUCUCUCAAAUAAAUAAAUAGAUCUUUUUUUAAAAUUUUAAAAAGUAAAAAAAAAAAAUUUUUUAAGUAUUUAUUAAGCACCAACUGUCCAGCAGGCAUUGGGAACCUAACUGUGACAAGCCAGAUACAGCCCUUACAGUACAGUAGGAACCACUGGGUGUAUUAAUAGGUAGAGCUUACUUUGGCUUCUACCUGUCAGGUUCUGUACCCCCGGUUUCACAUAUGUUUCAUUCUCUUAACAACUCAGUGAGGUAGAGACUACUGUGGCCUCACUUUGCAGGUAAGAAAGCUGAAGGCCAGCUAAUUGCCCAAGGUCACACAGCUAGUAAACAGCAAAGCUGGGAUUCGAAACCACCAUGUCUGGGACCAUAGCUCAUGCUCUUAACCACCAUGGUGUGGACUUACUAGUUGUACCACUGAUUUCUCCCAAAAACCUCACACCAAAGAUGAGGGCAAGGUCUUAUCUCUACUUUUCAGGAUAGAAAAGGAUCAGAGAGGUUAAGUAACAUUUGGAAAGCUGUGCAGCCCAUGUGGGGCUGGGUUGACCUUUGAAACCAAGCUCUGAGCUCAGUGAUCUUGGGUGGGCCGCAUAGCCUGUCUAAACCUCAGACUACACCUCGCCCCCCCUACCCCCACCACCACUGUCUACCUUUGGAAGUGGCCAUGAGGAUUGAAUGAGAUAAUAAAUGUGAAGACAUUGGCCCAGGGAAGGGCCAUAUGUGGUCACCAAUAGGAUGUGGCAAAAUGGCGACUGUAGUGGUUGGACUCCCUGAGACCUGCCUCCUACUCCCUACCCCAGUAGGGGACACCUACUGCAUAUUUAACAAGUUGGCAUGUGCAAAAGGAACCCCCAAAGGCAAUGCCUAACCAAGAAGGGAAGCUGCUUGAAUGGGGAGCUUUUAGGCAGUCUGGAGUGGCGAUUUUUUUUUUUUAACAGCUUUAUGGACAUAUUUUCCCCAUACCAUAACGUUCACCAUGCAAGUGGAUGGUUCAGCACUUUUUAAUGUGUUCAAAGACUUGUGCAACUAUCACCACCAGCUAAUUUUAGAACAUUUUCAACACCCCCCAAAGAAAACCCAUAUACUUUAACCAUCAUUUGGAACAGGCGAUGCUUAGGCUAGAGGGAGAAGUUGCUCAAAUAGUGGUUUUGUUGGCAGCGUGGCUGAUUAUUUGGAGCAUGGUAGGGAAUACUCUGCAAAUCAUACCUCGAACAACUGCCUAUUUCUCCCAUUAGAGAGCCAUCCACGGGGCACAGUGUGUUCCGUUCACUAGUCUUUAGGUCCAAGAAAUAAUUAAUUUUUUUUCUGUAGAUAGUUUGGUAGGGGCUGCCUGAAUGUGUAGAAAGUAGAGGGUCAGUGUUGGAGGGGCCGACUCACCCUAAAGAGGCCUAUGGCAGAGGAAGUAAGGGUAGGGGAAGGCAGGGCUGUGUCCCGUAUUUAGCAGUGAUGCUUCCCACCCCAGCCAGAUGGGUCUUUCAAAAUUGCAAAUUGGAUUGUGUUGUUCUCCUUAAAACUCUCCAAUGGCUUCCCUUAUUUUUUGGAAGAAGAUCCAGAGUCCUUAGUAGUCUGAAGUCCUCCCAGCUUCAUCUCACGCUGUGCUUCCACUCGUGCUCUUCCUUCUAGCCUCACACACUGCUUUUCUGUUCAUACCCUGCUUCUAUGAGCUUUUGGCAAAUAGAAAAAGUGCACCCUCUUGGUGCACAAAUUAGAGAAAGGAUUUUGUUCGUUCAGUCUGAUGCCUUUCUACAGUACCUGACCUAUGCAACUGAACACUGUAGUUCUGCCUUAAACAUGCCGAGCCCCAAACAGACAAGAUUUUGAUAUCUGGGAGGAGUGGAAAGAGCAUGGGCUUGGAGGGCAUCUCUAAGGGUGGGAAUCCCAACUC